ensembl:lncRNA
UGGUGAAUUCGGUUCUUUGUACUUAAUUUAUUAGCAUGAUUUCUUUUUAAUAUGUUGUGUACAGACUUAAUUACUUCUCUGUCUACUUUUCUUACUCCAUGUAGGUUUCCCAGAGACUAUGGGUUGAGGAGGAAUUGGAAGUUUGUCGGCUUAGACCUGGUGUCAUUCCAUCAGUGUUAAACUUCCCGGUUCAUCUUGGAAGAGUACGUGCCAGAAAGACCACGACCAAGCAGCCUUGAGAUCUUAGGCAGCGUCUCCCUGAGACCAAAGAACUACAGACUCUUCACAACCUGCUCAAACUCUUGUACA